CAGCCGCCACGGUAAUACGUAGGUCCCGAGCGUUGUCCGGAUUUAUUGGGCGUAAAGGGAGCGCAGGCGGUUUAGUAAGUCUGAAGUUAAAGGCAUUGGCUCAACCAAUGUAUGCUUUGGAAACUGUUAGACUUGAGUGCAGAAGGGGAGAGUGGAAUUCCAUGUGUAGCGGUGAAAUGCGUAGAUAUAUGGAGGAACACCGGUGGCGAAAGCGGCUCUCUGGUCUGUCACUGACGCUGAGGCUCGAAAGCGUGGGUAGCGAACAGGAUUAGAUACCCCCGUAGUCCCUGUCUCUUAUACC
rnacentral:rRNA from 1 species